AUACGUAGGGGGCGAGCGUUGUCCGGAAUGAUUGGGCGUAAAGGGCGCGUAGGCGGCUUGGUAAGUCUGGAGUGAAAGUCCUGUUUUUAAGAUGGGAAUUGCUUUGGAUACUGUCGGGCUUGAGUGCAGGAGAGGUAAGUGGAAUUCCCAGUGUAGCGGUGAAAUGCGUAGAGAUUGGGAGGAACACCAGUGGCGAAGGCGACUUACUGGACUGUAACUGACGCUGAGGCGCGAAAGUGUGGGGAGCAAACAGGAUUAGAUACCCUGGUAGUCCACACUGUAAACGAUGAAUGCUAGGUGUAGGGGGUAUCGACCCCUUCUGUGCCGCAGUCAACACAAUAAGCAUUCCGCCUGGGGAGUACGGCCGCAAGGUUGAAACUCAAAGGAAUUGACGGGG
rnacentral:rRNA from 1 species